UUGUGGUUUAUGCCGGCUUCCAUACCUCUUGGAUCCAGGCCAUUCCACCUGUGAAAUCUUGACUUUCCAUAUUUCCUCAGCUGGGAGAGAUAAUGAAUCAACCAUACUAUGUAGGCUACAGGUUCCAUACCAGCACAGGAGAAUCCAAGCUGAGAAGUCGUGACUUGCCCAUGGCCUACCUGAACAUCGAGGGUGCUCUCUCUGUCUCUGAGCUUUCUGAUUGCCUUUCUGUCAGCAGAAUUAUAAGAUGUGUUCAGACAGCAAGGCUCAAUUAACCCAGAAAGAAAGUGCAACCACGGACUAAGGUUCCUGAGGAAACUGAAAAAUUCAAGAACAUUCCAAUGCCUGAACCAUCUCCUGGCUUAGUUUAAAAGAAAGUUCAGUAAAAUUCAGUGCUAGAACCUGUUUGAAUGCAGAGCUCAGCCCUAGAAUAUGUGGGGGAAAGACUACCUCAAAGCAUGUGCUGAGUGCCUUUUCUUCAGCACUAGUUUUAGCCUACUAUCAAACAGCUAGAUCCCAGGAUUAGAGGACAGAGCUUUCAGUUUGGGCAUAUCUUUUUAAAGGAAUUAACCCCUCAGUCAUAGAUUCUAUAUCCAUACAUUAAUAUCUUCCAAUAAAAUAAAAUAACUUGGAUGGCUUAAUCUCCCUUUUGAAAAGAUUCAUCUCUAGGAUAAGACAGUGUUUAUCCAUGUGGAUAGUAUUUGUUCAUUUCUAUCAAUUUUGCCUGGCACAGAAUUCAGAUUUACUUACUUCUAGGAUGUGGAAUGUGUUUUGUUUUGUUUAAAUUGCUGCUGCAUUAGCUACUUCUUAUGUAACAUCGAGUCAUUUUUUGGCAAAAAACAACUUGUGUAGCUUAAUCUACCAAUGUACUCUAAACUAAAACCCCAUUUUAUGGGCAAUUCAAACCCAUUUUAUGGGCAAUUU